GACAUGGCUCAGAUGGUAAAGCAUCCAUCUACAAUGUGGGAGACCCAGGUUCAAUCCCUGGGUCA
rnacentral:tRNA from 1 species